GCUGCUGAGCCCUGGCUGAGCCGGGGACUGUUGUAUCGAAGCAGGGAAGGGCCCGCUGGCAGAGCCCCUCCCCGGCACGGAGCGCCCAGAGCCGGCCAGUGCUUGGUCCCUGUCUCCCGAAUGCCCUCUGGCAGGGACUGGAGUUUGGGGCCAGGGUCCUGGUGCGGGCUCUGGGUCUGCCAGCCAGCGGGUUCAACCCCCCUGAGUCAAUCAUGAGACUGGCUUUAAAAUCGUGGCUCUUAGCUUCGCGGGUUGAAGCUUUGCAGGGUCACCCUGUCAGGCUUGUCUCUGCAGCCAUACGGAUUAGAACCUGAAUGUUUUAAAAUGAAAGCCUAGAAGAUGGACAUUUUACAAGCCAUAAUAGACUGCUCCUUUCCCAGGAGCAAAGAGAUACUAGCAUCUAAGCCUAUAUGCUCCCCACCAUCCACCUACAUCAUCAUGAUCAUAUGCCAGGGAGGUUCUCGCCUCAUCAGAUGUAUCGUUGGAUCCAGGACUUGAAACUGAACUGGUUAGUGCUGGUAUACCAUACUAACAACUUUUGGCAGGAAGACAGAUCAGCUACAACUCUGUGAAAUUUACAGCUCAAAAGUACUAGAAAUCAUCCUCCACCCAUGUCUGAAUUUUUCUCACAAACAUGGGUAUUCUGCUCAAAUUUUUAUUUUUGUAUUUGUGAAGCUUUCCUUGCAUGUAGACACACAGUUUCAUGUACUAAAUCUGGA